GACGAACGCUGGCGGCAUGCUUAACACAUGCAAGUCGAACGGGAUUUAGUAAACAGAAGCCUCGGUGGAAGAUUACUAAUGAGAGUGGCGAACGGGUGAGUAACGCGUGAGCAACCUGCCUAUGACAGUGGGAUAGCCUCGGGAAACCGGGAUUAAUACCGCAUAAAAUCGUAGAAACACAUGUUUUAACGGUCAAAGAUUUAUCGGUCAUAGAUGGGCUCGCGUCUGAUUAGCUAGUUGGUGAGAUAACGGCUCACCAAGCCGACGAUCCAUAGCUGGUUUGAGAGGAUGAUCAGCCACACUGGGACUGAGACACGGCCCAG
rnacentral:rRNA from 1 species